rnacentral:rRNA from 1 species
GGCCGCGGGAAUUCGAUUAGAGUUUGAUCAUGGCUCAGGCUGUAACGCUGGCGGCGUGCUUAACACAUGCAAGUCGAACGAAGCGAGAACUAAAGCGCAAGCAGAGGUUCUUGACUGAGUGGCGGACGGGUGAGUAACGCGUGGAUAACCUGCCUUUCACAGGGGGAUAACAGCUGGAAACGGUUGCUAAUACCGCAUGAGCCUCUUUUGUCGCAUGACGGGAGAGGGAAAGAGAAAUCGGUGAGAGAUGGAUCCGCGUCCGAUUAGCUAGUUGGAGGGGUAACAGCCCACCAAGGCGACGAUCGGUAGCCGACCUGAGAGGGUGGACGGCCACAUUGGGACUGAGACACGGCCCAAACUCCUACGGGAGGCAGCAGUGGGGAAUAUUGCACAAUGGGGGAAACCCUGAUGCAGCAACGCCGCGUGAGUGAGGAAGUAUUUCGGUAUGUAAAGCUCUAUCAGCAGGGAAUAGAAAAGAAGGUACCUGAAAAAGAAGCCCCGGCUAACUACGUGCCAGCAGCCGCGGUAAUACGUAGGGGGCAAGCGUUAUCCGGAUUUACUGGGUGUAAAGGGAGCGUAGACGGAAAGGCAAGUCAGAAGUGAAAACCCAAGGCUCAACCAUGGGACUGCUUUUGAAACUGUCAAACUAGAGUACGGGAGAGGUAAGAGGAAUUCCUAGUGUAGCGGUGAAAUGCGUAGAUAUUAGGAGGAA